rnacentral:rRNA from 1 species
UGCUACCUACGGGGCGCAGCAGUGGGGAAUAUUGCACAAUGGGGGAAACCCUGAUGCAGCGACGCCGCGUGAGUGAAGAAGUAUUUCGGUAUGUAAAGCUCUAUCAGCAGGGAAGAAAAUGACGGUACCUGACUAAGAAGCCCCGGCUAACUACGUGCCAGCAGCCGCGGUAAUACGUAGGGGGCAAGCGUUAUCCGGAUUUACUGGGUGUAAAGGGAGCGUAGACGGCAUGGCAAGUCAGAUGUGAAAGCCCGGGGCUCAACCCCGGGACUGCAUUUGAAACUUCCAGGCUGGAGUGCUGGAGG